rnacentral:rRNA from 1 species
UACAGAGGUGGCAAGCGUUGUUCGGAAUUACUGGGCGUAAAGGGCGCGUAGGCGGUCUUGUAAGUCUCGUGUGAAAUCCCUCGGCUUAACUGAGGAACUGCACGGGAUACUGCAUGACUUGAGAUCGGGAGAGGGAAGCGGAAUUCCGGGUAUAGCGGUGAAAUGCGUAGAUAUCCGGAGGAACACCGGUGGCGAAGGCGGCUUCCUGGACCGACACUGACGCUGAGGCGCGAAAGCUAGGGGAGCAAACGGG